rnacentral:rRNA from 1 species
GACGAACGCUGGCGGCGUGCUUAACACAUGCAAGUCGAACGGAAAGGCCCUGCUUUUGUGGGGUGCUCGAGUGGCGAACGGGUGAGUAACACGUGAGUAACCUGCCCUUGACUUUGGGAUAACUUCAGGAAACUGGGGCUAAUACCGGAUAGGAGCUCCUGCUGCAUGGUGGGGGUUGGAAAGUUUCGGCGGUUGUGGAUGGACUCGCGGCUUAUCAGCUUGUUGGUGGGGUAGUGGCUUACCAAGGCUUUGACGGGUAGCCGGCCUGAGAGGGUGACCGGCCACAUUGGGACUGAGAUACGGCCCAGACUCCUACGGGAGGCAGCAGUGGGGAAUAUUGCACAAUGGGCGGAAGCCUGAUGCGGCAACGCCGCGUGCGGGAUGACGGCCUGCGGGUUGUAAACCGCUUUCGCCUGUGACGAAGCGUGAGUGACGGUAAUGGGUAAAGAAGCACCGGCUAACUACGUG